rnacentral:lncRNA from 1 species
UUACCCAAACAGUCUCUAUCUCACAGAUACACACAACCACACACACAAUCUCUCUCUCUCUUUCUCACACACACACAGACACACACACACACACACACUCUCUCUCUCUCUCUUUCUCAAACACACACACAGACACGGCACGGUACAACUAAAGACCCCUCGCAAUCAUAAAGAUAUUAAUAGUUUUCUAUUCCAUCCAUACAACAUGGCAGCAUGCAUGCAAAACGAUUCCCACGCAUUUUUUGGCAGAGGACCCUCUGACAGUCUCCAGAGGGCUCGCUUCUUUUCCAGUCCGCGAGGAACUUGUCAGGAAAAGAUCUACAUUUCCCAGAGUGGAGUGUGGGCGAGAGUGAGGAGGAACACAAAAAGAGGGACCAACAGGGUGAGUGCAUGUUGGGGGGGUGGCGGGGGUAGCUGUGCUUGGGGGGUAGAUAGAGGAAAAGUUCAUAGAAGGAGACGCUAAGAGAUUGUGAGAUGGGAAGAAAAAUGAGAGAUGGCCGAUAUCUAGAUAGGCGAGAGGCAGCCUUGAGCCUGUCGGGCCUGAAAGGAGAAGUCUGGGUUGGCCUGGAUGAAAAGAAAAGGGGA